rnacentral:sRNA from 1 species
GAGUUGCCCAUACGGGGAAGGACGAGAACCUUCGACAAGGUUCGGCGAGCGAACGCGAGCAACGUUGCGCAGCAACGGCCCGAAGGGUGAGGAACGAAGUGACGAAUCAUCCUUCCCCCACCACCC